GUUCUCAUCACCUAUGUACACGCAUGAGCUGUUCAUGUUGUUGUCUCUAUAUGAUAUACUAAAAGUGUCGAGCUUCUGCCAUUCCUUGAGAGUCAGACUUGAGAGAGCAAUUGGAAGCUAUAUAUAUACAUGUAUAGUAUAGCACUGGUCAUGGUGCUAUAUACUCCGUGACUAAUUCUGGUGUUCGAGUAUACCACAAUGACGGUCAUGCACGUUAAACAACUUUUGUGUACACGCAUGUCCAUACAUGCUCUUUUGUUAUAAAAAUUAUUAAAAUUGUGUUUGUACAAAAA